AGCGAGCGGAACUAACAGAUUUACUUCGGUAAUGACGUUAGGAAAGCGAGCGGCGGAUGGGUGAGUAACACGUGGGGAACCUGCCCCAUAGUCUGGGAUACCACUUGGAAACAGGUGCUAAUACCGGAUAAGAAAGCAGAUCGCAUGAUCAGCUUUUAAAAGGCGGCGUAAGCUGUCGCUAUGGGAUGGCCCCGCGGUGCAUUAGCUAGUUGGUAAGGUAAAGGCUUACCAAGGCGAUGAUGCAUAGCCGAGUUGAGAGACUGAUCGGCCACAUUGGGACUGAGACACGGCCCAAACUCCUACGGGAGGCAGCAGUAGGGAAUCUUCCACAAUGGACGCAAGUCUGAUGGAGCAACGCCGCGUGAGUGAAGAAGGUUUUCGGAUCGUAAAGCUCUGUUGUUGGUGAAGAAGGAUAGAGGUAGUAACUGGCCUUUAUUUGACGGUAAUCAACCAGAAAGUCACGGCUAACUACGUGCCAGCAGCCGCGGUAAUACGUAGGUGGCAAGCGUUGUCCGGAUUUAUUGGGCGUAAAGCGAGCGCAGGCGGAAGAAUAAGUCUGAUGUGAAAGCCCUCGGCUUAACCGAGGAACUGCAUCGGAAACUGUUUUUCUUGAGUGCAGAAGA
rnacentral:rRNA from 1 species